rnacentral:misc_RNA from 1 species
UCCGACUUGGAGCCGGCAGUCUCCUGUGAAAAAACAACACAGGAUGAGGGUUGCGCUCGUUCAUUGACUUAACAACACACCUUAAGGCACGAGCUGACGACGACCGUGCACCACCUGUCUUCGGGUUCCUUGCGGCACAGUCCCAUUUCUGGGACCUUCCCGAGAUGUCAAACCUGGGUGAGGUGCCCCGCUUAGUAUCGAAUUAAACCCCAUGCUCCACCGCUUGUGUGGGUCCCCGUCUAUUCCUUUGAGUUUUAACCUUGCGGCCGUACUCCCCAGGCGGCGUGUUUACCGCGUAUGCUAAGGCACGGAGGAUCGAUUGAACGUUCCCCCACACCGAACACGCAUCGUUUAGGGCGUGGACUAC